AACGAACGCUGGUGGCAUGCCUAACACAUGCAAGUCGAACGAUUGCCUUCGGGUGAUAGUGGCGCACGGGUGCGUAACGCGUGGGAAUCUGCCCUUAGGUUCGGAAUAACAGCUGGAAACGGCUGCUAAUACCGGAUGAUAUCGCGAGAUCAAAGAUUUAUCGCCUGAGGAUGAGCCCGCGUUGGAUUAGGUAGUUGGUGGGGUAAAGGCCUACCAAGCCGACGAUCCAUAGCUGGUCUGAGAGGAUGAUCAGCCACACUGGGACUGAGACACGGCCCAGACUCCUACGGGAGGCAGCAGUGGGGAAUAUUGGACAAUGGGCGCAAGCCUGAUCCAGCAAUGCCGCGUGAGUGAUGAAGGCCCUAGGGUUGUAAAGCUCUUUUACCCGGGAAGAUAAUGACUGUACCGGGAGAAUAAGCCCCGGCUAACUCCGUG
rnacentral:rRNA from 1 species